UUGCUAUAAUUGUCAGCUAAGUGGCGCACGGGUGAGUAAUGUAUAGGUAAUAUGCCUCUUACUAAGGGAUAACAAUUGGAAACGAUUGCUAAUACCUUAUAUUCCUUUUUAUCAAAAGAUAAAAAGGGAAAGAUUUAUUGGUAAGAGAUUAGCCUGUAUUGUAUCAGUUAGUUGGUGGGGUAAUGGCCUACCAAGACAAUGACGCAUAACUGGUUUGAGAGGAUGAUCAGUCACACUGGAACUGAGACACGGUCCAGACUCCUACGGGAGGCAGCAGUGGGGAAUAUUGCACAAUGGACGAAAGUCUGAUGCAGCAACGCCGCGUGGAGGAUGACACAUUUCGGUGCGUAAACUCCUUUUAUAUAAGAAGAUAAUGACGGUAUUAUAUGAAUAAGCACCGGCUAACUCCGUGCCAGCAGCCGCGGUAAUACGGAGGGUGCAAGCGUUACUCGGAAUCACUGGGCGUAAAGAGCGUGUAGGCGGAUUGAUAAGUUUGAAGUGAAAUCCUAUAGCUUAACUAUAGAACUGCUUUGAAAACUGUUAAUCUAGAAUGUGGGAGAGGUAGAUGGAAUUUCUGGUGUAGGGGUAAAAUCCGUAGAGAUCAGAAGGAAUACCGAUUGCGAAGGCGAUCUACUGGAACAAUAUUGACGCUGAGACGCGAAAGCGUGGGGAGCAAACAGGAUUAGAUACCCUGGUAGUCCACGCCCUAAACGAUGUACACUAGUUGUUGUGAGGCUCGACCUUGCAGUAAUGCAGUUAACACAUUAAGUGUACCGCCUGGGGAGUACGGUCGCAAGAUUAAAACUCAAAGGAAUAGACGGGGACCCGCACAAGCGGUGGAGCAUGUGGUUUAAUUCGACGAUACACGAAGAACCUUACCUGGACUUGACAUAGUAAGAAUGAUUUAGAGAUAGAUUAGUGUCUGCUUGCAGAAACUUGCAUACAGGUGCUGCACGGCUGUCGUCAGCUCGUGUCGUGAGAUGUUGGGUUAAGUCCCGCA
rnacentral:rRNA from 1 species